rnacentral:rRNA from 1 species
GCCUACGGGGGGCAGCAGUAGGGAAUCUUCCACAAUGGGCGAAAGCCUGAUGGAGCAACGCCGCGUGGGUGAAGAAGGUCUUCGGAUCGUAAAACCCUGUUGUUAGAGAAGAAAGUGCGUGAGAGUAACUGUUCACGUUUCGACGGUAUCUAACCAGAAAGCCACGGCUAACUACGUGCCAGCAGCCGCGGUAAUGCGUAGGUGGCAAGCGUUAUCCGGAUUUAUUGGGCGUAAAGGGAACGCAGGCGGUCUUUUAAGUCUGAUGUGGAAGCCUUCGGCUUAACCGGAGUAGUGAAUUGGAAACU